AUGAUGUCACUCUGAAUUUUAUUGUACAUGUAAGUAAUGCUUUGCCAAACUUUCCCUGGUUUAGUAUGUUUUAAUAACUUUGAGGAAUAGCUUGUGUUUCCCCAUAGGGAGACCAUGAAUUUUCAAAUUAAUAAUAUGGAGAAGAAUCUUGCAUAAUUCAGUGUGAUAUACAGAUGUAUGAAAGUCUUCUUCCUGAGACCUUGGACAGCUGCUUUUAUUCAUAGUAAUAACUAAUACUGGCAUGACUUGUUAACGGCAGGAUCAUAGCCUGUUAAAGGAUUCUCUUGAUGUCAUCUGACUAAUUAUUCUUUAUGUUAAAGGGUUUGCUGCUGGCCUCUUCCCCCCACCCUACAGGAUGGUAUGAAAUUUGAAAGAAGACGAUGCAUACAGGAUGAAGAGAUGGCCCUGGGUCUUCCUCUGAAUGCCCAGCCGGACUCUGCCCUUCCUCCAUUUCUUCCACAGCCACCGGAGCCACAUUCCCACUCCCUGUCAGCUGCUCAAUCUCCCCCUCAGAAUCAGACUCUCAACAAGGGCAUGACAAUGAAUGCCAAAAGAUAGCGAAUAUAAGAUGAGAACUUCUGUAAGUACAAUUUUAGAUAUUGUUUGAUUGAAAUAAUUUCAAAAAUGUU
rnacentral:lncRNA from 1 species